UGUCGGCGCCAUUUUGUCUGGGCAGCGGUGGCUGCAGCGCUAUCGCUUUUUAUGUUUCUGGCCAGACGAGAGCGGAUUCUUUAGUCUGUAGAUUCGUUUUUUCUGCGGCACCCAUCCACCGUUCUCUCCAGGACAAAACCUAGUGAACGCUGGAAGAGUCGCGAUCUGCCGGAAAGUUGGUCAGAAGAAAACAGGACAGCUCGGUGACAAAUACCCGAAAGUAUUACUGAGAGUAAGCCUUAUUUCGAGGAAACAUGAAGGAAAGUGUUCCAGAUUUUAAAAGACCUGGAUCAGCUAUCUGUUGAAAAUUCUAUUUCUGGUUCCUUUAUGAAUGAUAGAAAUGAAAGCAAAUGGAUAGUCUUAUCAGAUAAGUACUUUUAUACUCUAAAUAUAUUCUAUUAUUUGUAAUUUCUAAACCAAAAACUUGAUUCUUUAAAACUUUUUUUUUUUUUUUUAGGUACCAGUAUCAAGAAGUUUACAGUAAUAAGAUAUUCAGCCUUUUCUGAAAAUAAAUUUGUAACAUUGUCAAAGUAAAAUAUAGCAACUUUUUUCCCCCCUCAGAGAUUAAUCACAUCUCAGUGGUGUGGUUACAAAGUUGAAUUUACAGUUGAAUUUAAGAUUAUUUAUUAAUUCUGUGUAUAGUAUGUAGGAAAACAAUUGUUAAUUUCUUUUAUAAUACCUGGAAGGCUAGGUAUAUCUGCUUAAAUAGUUCUUAGAGUUAUCUGAUGUAUGUUUUGAGGUGGCUUAGCUGCUCAUAUAUAAGUUUUUUAAAGAACUGUUGUCUUUUCUUUGAAAGAGGGUUAUUAGCUAUUCCAAUGUGAAUUUAAGAACAGAUGUACUCACAGUACAAUAAAAAUAGGAGAAUCUUAUGCCAUUCAUAUGUUGGAAGUUGGAAAAGUGUAGACUGGCCAGAGAUUAGCUUAUUUAGGAUAGCUUAUUAUCUGUCCAUAGAUAGAUCCAACUUAAUGUUGAGGUGUUUGUCCAAGGUCACUACUGUCAUUCCAACUUAAAUGUAUGAGUCAUAAAAUGUAGCAGGUAAUUUGACCAUGUAGCCAUGGUAAUGAGAUACUGGCUUUGAGUUGUUUAUAUAGUAGUUAACUAUUCACAUAGUGAUUUGCUAUUUAAACUACACAGAUGCUCAAAGUCUACCACACCACCCUGCCGCUUGCUCAAAGUCUACCACACCACCCUGCCGCUAAACUCAGUGACUUAGAUUACCUUCUUAGGAAAGCCUGACAGUUGAAUGGAGUGAUACUGGCAUGAGCCCAAUAAUGGGGGUGUGUGUACCUGGCAUACUUGGCCUAAGUUCAGUUUCUUCCUGCUCUAAGUGCUACCAUUCCUUGAAGGCCACAAUACCGAUUAUUCCACUCAGCAACGGUUCUGUUGACAAAGCUCUUCCAUAUAUAUUCUAAUUUAUUUAGCAUAAAAAAAUUUUUUAUGGCCUCGCCCACAGCAUCCAGAAAUCCCUAGGCCAGGGAUCUAACCCUAACCACAGCAGUGACAAUGCCAAAUUCUUAACCACUAGGCCAUCAGGGAACUCCAAAUACUAUUUUUAUUUGAACUUUACAGAUCAAGAAAUUUCCUAGGUGACAGGUGAUAGGGUUUUGUGGAUCAUUCCUCCCCCCCCCACGCCUGGCCAAGGCUCGUGAAAGUUCCCAGACCAGGGAUCAAACCCACACCAUAGCAGUGACCCAAGCCAGUGCAGUGACAACACUGGAUCCUUAACCCACUAUGUUGUAAGAGAACUCCAAAAUUCUUGACUCUCUAACCUAAAACAUCUUUCUUCAUGCAUUACACCUAAAGGUUAACAAUGGCUGAUGACCAACAGUCAUGUCAGUAAAUAACAAAAUUGGGCAGUGGCAUCAAUUAACUGCCUGCUAAGUUUGUAAGUAUUUCUGUAUACAGGAUAUGAUCUUUAGAUUCCUAGAUGAGUGAUGAAAUGGGGUUUUGAAUUAAUCUGAUUCCAAAGCCUCUGUUUGCAGUAGUUUAAGGAAUUUUAAAAGAGGCAUAAAUCUACAUUCUAGUACUGAAUAAAUAGUGCUCAGAUAUCUCCAACAAUUUGUCAGAUAUUAACCAAACUUCAACUGUUAUAAGACAAGAAUUUAAUGAAAACUGGUAGUGGGUAUAUAGUAAUCCACAGGGCUGAAUAAUACACGGGACUGUAUUAGAAAUUUAAAAUAGAUGCUGAAGUAGGUGUUACAUGUUAUCAUCAUCUGAUUCAUCUUCUUCCUUCAAAGAUUCCUGUUAAGAAGAAAAUAAUGUUUAAAAUAAAUUUUUAGCAUUGCUGUAACAACCUGACUAUAGGUAAAAAAUGAACAAUGGUUUAGAAUAAGACAGCCAAGUAAAGGAUAGCUAAGUUUAUCUUGCUCUAACAAUCAAUUACUAUAUUCUUGAUAGAAUGCUCACUAUAUGAAAGCAUUAAAUGUCCUGGAAAAAACCCUGCCAUUUUCACAUGCACGAAAAAAUUCUUUUGGAACCAGGGCAGCUUUAAUCCCCAUUGAGGAUAACCUAGAAAAUUUCUAUCCUUAGCUCAGCUAAACUCUUCUUUAGUGUUAUUUAACAGAAUUCAACAUAUUCAUCAUAUUUCCAUGAUACCUUCAGUUCGAAUAGUUUUCAUGCUGUGGCUUACCUUAGCGUAUUUCUCUGCCUCUUCCCUUAUAUCUUUUGGAACAAUUUCAUGUCUUCCUUUUGUUACUGUAAAUUAAGCCAUAUAUAUAUAUUGAAGUGAAUUAAAAAUGAGGACUAUA